rnacentral:rRNA from 1 species
CCCUUAGAUGUCCUGGGCCGCACGCGCGCUACACUGAACGGAUCAGCGCGUUUUCCCUUCCCGAGAGGGACGGGUAACCUGCUGAACCCCGUUCGUGGUAGGGAUCGGGGCUUGCAAUUAUUCCCCGUGAACCAGGAAUGCCCAGUAAGUGCAAGUCAUAAGCUUGCGUUGAUUACGUCCCUGCCCUUUGUACACACCGCCCGUCGCACCUACCGAUUGAAUGGUCCGGUGAAAUCUCGGGACGGCGGCUUGGUCGCUUGCGUCCGACUGCUGAAACUUGAUUAAACCAUAUCAUUUAGAGGAAGGUGAAGUCGUANCA